CCUCGGGGGGCUGCAGUGGGGAAUUUUGGACAAUGGGGGCAACCCUGAUCCAGCCAUUCCGCGUGAGUGAAGAAGGCCUUCGGGUUGUAAAGCUCUUUUGUCCGGAGCGAAACGGGCGGCCCUAAUACGGUCGUCUACUGACGGUACCGGAAGAAUAAGCACCGGCUAACUACGUGCCAGCAGCCGCGGUAAUACGUAGGGUGCGAUAGUUAAUCUGAAUUGCUGGGCGUCGGGCGUGCGAGCCAGAUGUGAAAUCCCCGGGCUCAACCUGGGAAUGGCAUUUGGGACUGCAAGGCUGGAGUGUGGCAGAGGGGACUAGAAUUCCUGGUGUAGCAGUGAAAUGCGUAGAUAUCAGGAGGAAUACCGAUGGCGAAGGCAGGUCCCUGGGUUAACACUGACGCUCAUGCACGAAAGCGUGGGGAGCAAACAGGAUUAGAUACCCGUGUAGUC
rnacentral:rRNA from 1 species